rnacentral:rRNA from 1 species
AUUGAACGCUGGCGGCAUGCCUUACACAUGCAAGUCGAACGGUAACAGGUUAAGCUGCCGAGUGGCGAACGGGUGAGUAAUGUAUCGGAACGUGCCCAGUCGUGGGGGAUAACUGCUCGAAAGAGCAGCUAAUACCGCAUACGACCUGAGGGUGAAAGCGGGGGAUCGCAAGACCUCGCGCGAUUGGAGCGGCCGAUAUCAGAUUAGGUAGUUGGAGAGGUAAAGGCUCACCAAGCCGACGAUCUGUAGCUGGUCUGAGAGGACGACCAGCCACACUGGGACUGAGACACGGCCCAGACUCCUACGGGAGGCAGCAGUGGGGAAUUUUGGACAAUGGGCGCAAGCCUGAUCCAGCCAUGCCGCGUGCGGGAAGAAGGCCUUCGGGUUGUAAACCGCUUUUGUCAGGGAAGAAAAGGUUCUGGCUAAUACCUGGGACUCAUGACGGUACCUGAAGAAUAAGCACCGGCUAACUACGUG